UCAGCCGUCACCCCUUGCUCUCACAGGACAUUCUGUUAGGGUUUCUCUCCAAGCUUUCUCGAACUAGCUCAGAACCAGUUCCUACUCCACCUCUUUAGUGCGUUCCGAGGGCUGCAGUGCUCGUGUCGUGUCGUCAAGGCUUCGGUUGGCUCUGUUUCCAGAUGGGCGAGGUUCUCGUGGUCAGCAAGGAAAUGGUGAUUUCACUGCUUAGCCUUUUGGGCUGGAUUUAUCUUAUUCAUGAUUUCUUUAGGGUUAUGGCCCAUGUAUCGCUUUACACAUUUCUACUCUACACUUUUUGUUAGACUUGUAUCUGGUUUCCGUUGGCAUUAUGGUGUAUCCAGGUUGUAGGAUUGGAUUAAGGACCCCAAAACUACACUACUACAUUAUCGUUUACGUGACAUUUCCUUUAGUUUCGUUUA